rnacentral:rRNA from 1 species
GUGCCAGCAGCCGCGGUAAUACGUAGGGUGCGAGCGUUGUCCGGAAUUACUGGGCGUAAAGAGCUCGUAGGUGGUUUGUCGCGUCGUCUGUGAAAUUCCGGGGCUUAACUCCGGGCGUGCAGGCGAUACGGGCAUAACUUGAGUACUGUAGGGGAGACUGGAAUUCCUGGUGUAGCGGUGAAAUGCGCAGAUAUCAGGAGGAACACCGGUGGCGAAGGCGGGUCUCUUGGGCAGUAACUGACGCUGAGGAGCGAAAGCAUGGGGAGCGAACAGGAUUAUAUACCCUGGUAGUCC